CGAGUGGCGGACGGGUGAGUAAUGUCUGGGAAACUGCCUGAUGGAGGGGGAUAACUACUGGAAACGGUAGCUAAUACCGCAUAACGUCGCAAGACCAAAGAGGGGGACCCUCGGGCCUCUUGCCAUCGGAUGUGCCCAGAUGGGAUUAGCCUGUUGGUGGGGUAACGGCUCACCAAGGCGACGAUCCCUAGCUGGUCUGAGAGGAUGACCAGCCACACUGGAACUGAGACACGGUCCAGACUCCUACGGGAGGCAGCAUG
rnacentral:rRNA from 1 species